CUAAUACAUGCAAGUCGAACGAACUCUGGUAUUGAUUGGUGCUUGCAUCAUGAUUUACAUUUGAGUGAGUGGCGAACUGGUGAGUAACACGUGGGAAACCUGCCCAGAAGCGGGGGAUAACACCUGGAAACAGAUGCUAAUACCGCAUAACAACUUGGACCGCAUGGUCCGAGCUUGAAAGAUGGCUUCGGCUAUCACUUUUGGAUGGUCCCGCGGCGUAUUAGCUAGAUGGUGGGGUAACGGCUCACCAUGGCAAUGAUACGUAGCCGACCUGAGAGGGUAAUCGGCCACAUUGGGACUGAGACACGGCCCAAACUCCUACGGGAGGCAGCAGUAGGGAAUCUUCCACAAUGGACGAAAGUCUGAUGGAGCAACGCCGCGUGAGUGAAGAAGGGUUUCGGCUCGUAAAACUCUGUUGUUAAAGAAGAACAUAUCUGAGAGUAACUGUUCAGGUAUUGACGGUAUUUAACCAGAAAGCCACGGCUAACUACGUGCCAGCAGCCGCGGUAAUACGUAGGUGGCAAGCGUUGUCCGGAUUUAUUGGGCGUAAAGCGAGCGCAGGCGGUUUUUUAAGUCUGAUGUGAAAGCCUUCGGCUCAACCGAAGAAGUGCAUCGGAAACUGGGAAACUUGAGUGCAGAAGAGGACAGUGGAACUCCAUGUGUAGCGGUGAAAUGCGUAGAUAUAUGGAAGAACACCAGUGGCGAAGGCGGCUGUCUGGUCUGUAACUGACGCUGAGGCUCGAAAGUAUGGGUAGCAAACAGGAUUAGAUACCCUGGUAGUCCAUACCGUAAACGAUGAAUGCUAAGUGUUGGAGGGUUUCCGCCCUUCAGUGCUGCAGCUAACGCAUUAAGCAUUCCGCCUGGGGAGUACGGCCGCAAGGCUGAAACUCAAAGGAAUUGACGGGGGCCCGCACAAGCGGUGGACCUGUGGUUAAUUCAAGCUACGCGAAUAACCUUACCAGGCUUGACAUACUAUGCAAAUCUAUAGAUAGACGUCCCUUCCGUGACUGAAUCUGGGGUGCUUGGUGUCU
rnacentral:rRNA from 1 species